CCUUCGAUAGCUCAGUUGGUAGAGCGGAGGACUGUAGAGGUUCAGUUGAAAUCCUUAGGUCGCUGGUUCGAAUCCGGCUCGAAGGA
rnacentral:tRNA from 1 species